GUUGACGGGACCCGCACAAGCGGUGGAUGAUGUGGAUUAAUUCGAUGCAACGCGAAAACCUUACCCACCUUUGACAUGGCAGGAAUCCUAAAGAGAUUUGGGAGUGCUCGAAAGAGAACCUGCACACAGGUGCUGCAUGGCUGUCGUCAGCUCGUGUCGUGAGAUGUUGGGUUAAGUCCCGCAACGAGCGCAACCCUUGCCAUUAGUUGCUACGAAAGGGCACUCUAAUGGGACUGCCGGUGACAAACCGGAGGAAGGUGGGGAUGACGUCAAGUCCUCAUGGCCCUUAUAGGUGGGGCUACACACGUCAUACAAUGGCCGGUACAGAGGGUAGCCAACCCGCGAGGGGGAGCCAAUCCCACAAAGCCGGUCGUAGUCCGGAUCGCAGUCUGCAACUCGACUGCGUGAAGUCGGAAUCGCUAGUAAUCGCGGAUCAGCAUGUCGCGGUGAAUACGUUCCCGGGUCUU
rnacentral:rRNA from 1 species